AGCUUUGCGCAGUGGCGAUAUCGUAACCAAUGAGGUACAUCCGAGGUGCGAUUAUUGCUAGUUGAAAACUGAUGUGCAGUCAGCGUCUGUUCUUGGAUUUAUCAUUCAAAACGAUCUUGAGUGGGACAAACAUGUA